CCCUUAGAUGUUCUGGGCCGCACGCGCGCUACACUGAUGCAUUCAACGAGUUUCUUCCUGGUCCGAGAGGAAUGGGUAACCUUUUGAAAGUGCAUCGUGAUAGGGAUAGACUAUUGCAAUUAUUGGUCUUCAACGAGGAAUUCCUAGUAGACGUAGUUCAUCAGACUGCAUCGAUUACGUCCCUGCCCUUUGUACACACCGCCCGUCGCUCCUACCGAUUGAAUGCUCAGGUGAGCCAUUCGGACUUUCAUCAUGCUGGUUUCCAGUUUUGAUGAAGGAAAGUCUUGCGAACCUUAUCAUUUAGAGGAAGGAGAAGUCGUAACAA
rnacentral:rRNA from 1 species